rnacentral:rRNA from 1 species
ACGACCAUAUCACGUUGAAAAAACACGGUUCUCGUCCGAUCACCGAAGUUAAGCAACGACGAGCUCCCGGUUAGUACUUGGAUGGGGUGACCGCCUGGGAAUACCGGGUGUUGUAG